AGAGUUUGAUCCUGGCUCAGAGCGAACGUUUGCGGCGGGCCUAACACAUGCAAGUCGAACGAGAAAACCUUCGGGUGAGUACAGUGGCGCACGGGUGAGGAACGCGUAGGUAAUCUACCGUCUGGCGGGGGACAACACUCCGAAAGGAAUGCUAAUACCGCGUAAGACCCCACUCACUACGGUGAGAGAGGUUAAAGGUGCCCCAAAGCACCACCAGACGAUGAGCCUGCGUCCCAUCAGCUUGUUGGUAAGGUAACGGCUUACCAAGGCGAAGACGGGUAGCUGGUCUGAGAGGAUGAUCAGCCACACUGGCACUGGAACACGGGCCAGACUCCUACGGGAGGCAGCAGUGAGGAAUAUUGGGCAAUGGGCGAAAGCCUGACCCAGCCACGCCGCGUGUGUGAUGAAGGCCUUCGGGUCGUAAAGCACUGUGGGGAGGGACGAACAUGCGCAUGAGGAAAUGCUUGCGCACUGACGGUACCUCCUUAGCAAGCACCGGCUAACUCUGUGCCAGCAGCCGCGGUAAUACAGAGGGUGCGAACGUUGCUCGGAUUUACUGGGCGUAAAGCGCGUGUAGGCGGACUCGCAAGUCGGUUGUGAAAUCCCUGGGCUCAACCUAGGAACUGCAUCCGAAACUGCUUGUCUUGAGUAAUGGAGAGGGUGGCGGAAUUCCCGGUGUAGAGGUGAAAUUCGUAGAUAUCGGGAGGAACAUCAGUGGCGAAGGCGGCCACCUGGACAUUUACUGACGCUGAGACGCGAAAGCGUGGGGAGCAAACAGGAUUAGAUACCCUGGUAGUCCACGCCGUANACGAUGAGCACUAGGUGCAGCGGAUAUUGACCUCUGCUGUGCCGUAGCUAACGCG
rnacentral:rRNA from 1 species